ACAAGCUGCCAUAUUCUAUUAGAAUUCUUCUUGAAUCAGCAAUUCGUAAUUGUGACAACUUUCAAGUGAAAAAGGAGGAUGUUGAGAAGAUUAUUGACUGGGAAAAUACUGCGCCGAAGCUAGUGGAGAUACCGUUUAAGCCAGCCCGAGUCUUGCUGCAAGAUUUUACUGGUGUACCAGCUGUUGUGGACCUUGCUUGCAUGCGUGAUGCCAUGAACAAGCUUGGCAGCGAUUCUGACAAGAUUAAUCCAUUGGUGCCGGUAGAUCUGGUAAUUGAUCAUUCAGUUCAAGUUGAUGUGGCAAGGUCAGAAAAUGCUGUCCAGGCUAAUAUGGAACUGGAAUUCCAAAGGAACAAGGAGAGAUUCGCCUUUCUCAAGUGGGGUUCUAAUGCUUUUCGCAACAUGCUUGUUGUUCCACCAGGUUCUGGUAUUGUUCAUCAGGUGAAUCUUGAAUACCUCGGGAGAGUCGUCUUUAACAUGGAAGGCUUGCUCUAUCCUGAUAGUGUUGUCGGAACAGAUUCCCACACCACUAUGAUCGAUGGGCUUGGAGUUGCUGGCUGGGGUGUUGGAGGUAUUGAAGCAGAAGCUACAAUGCUUGGUCAGCCAAUGAGCAUGGUGUUGCCUGGAGUUGUUGGGUUCAAGUUAUCUGGAAAAUUGCGCAGUGGUGUAACUGCCACUGACUUGGUGUUGACAGUCACUCAAAUGCUUAGGAAGCAUGGUGUUGUUGGGAAGUUUGUUGAAUUCUAUGGUGAUGGAAUGAGUGAACUAUCAUUGGCUGACAGAGCCACCAUUGCAAACAUGUCUCCUGAAUAUGGUGCUACAAUGGGUUUCUUUCCUGUAGAUCAUGUUACAUUGCAGUAUCUGAAACUAACAGGGAGAAGUGACGAAACAGUGGAAAUGAUCGAAGCAUAUCUGCGUGCGAAUAAUAUGUUUGUCGACUAUAAUGAGCCUCAACAUGAGAAAGUGUACUCUGCUUCGUUGCACCUAGACCUUGCUGACGUUGAGCCAUGUGUCUCAGGGCCAAAAAGACCUCAUGACCGCGUGCCUUUGAAAGAAAUGAAGUCUGACUGGCACUCUUGCCUUGAUAAUAAGGUUGGAUUCAAGGGAUUUGCUGUGCCAAAAGAUGCACAGGAAAAAGUAGUAAAGUUUUCUUUCCAUGGACAAGAUGCAGAGCUCAAGCAUGGAAGUGUUGUGAUUGCAGCUAUUACAAGUUGCACUAAUACAUCAAAUCCCAGUGUUAUGCUAGGAGCAGCCCUUGUUGCAAAAAAGGCUUGCGAUCUGGGUCUACAUAUUAAGCCAUGGGUUAAAACAAGUCUUGCUCCUGGCUCCGGCGUAGUUACAAAAUAUUUACUCCAGAGUGGGCUGCAGAAGUAUUUGAAUCAGCAAGGUUUCCAUAUUGUUGGAUAUGGCUGCACAACUUGUAUUGGGAAUUCGGGGGAUUUGGAUGAAUCAGUUGCUUCUGCUAUAUCAGAAAAUGACAUUGUUGCUGCUGCUGUACUCUCUGGAAAUCGAAACUUUGAGGGGCGUGUUCAUCCCUUGACGAGAGCAAACUACCUUGCUUCACCUCCUUUGGUGGUUGCCUAUGCACUCGCUGGCACUGUUGAUAUUGACUUUGAGAAAGAGCCAAUUGGAGUGGGAAAUGAUGGUAAGAAUGUCUACUUCAAGGAUAUUUGGCCAUCAACUGAAGAAAUUGCUGAGGUUGUUCAAUCAAGCGUAUUGCCAGACAUGUUCAAGAGUACCUAUGAAGCUAUUACAAAGGGGAAUAAUAUGUGGAAUCAAUUAUCAGUACCAGCUGCUAAGCUCUACUCAUGGGAGCCUAGUUCUACAUACAUUCACGAGCCACCAUAUUUCAAGGAUAUGACAAUGGAUCCUCCCGGGCCUCACGGUGUGAAGGAUGCUUAUUGCUUGCUGAACUUUGGUGAUAGUAUUACCACAGAUCACAUUUCACCAGCUGGAAGCAUCCACAAAGAUAGUCCUGCCGCUAAGUCCUUAUUGAGCGGGGGGUUGAUCGCAGGGACUUCAACUCAUAUGGUAGCCGUCGUGGUAAUGAUGAAAUAUGGCUAGG